rnacentral:rRNA from 1 species
GAGGUGGUUAUGUAAGUCUGAUGUGAAAAUGCCGGGCUCCACUCUGUAUUGCGUUGGGAACUGCAUGACAUAGAGUACUGGAGAGGUAAGCGGAACUACCAGUGUACAUGUGAAAUUCUUAGAUAUUUGUAGGAAUGCCGAUGGGGAAGCCAGCUUACUGCACAGAUACUGACGCUAAAGCGCGAAAGCGUGGGUAGCAAACAGGAUUAGAUACCCUGGUAGUCCACGCCGUAAACGAUGAUUACUAGGUGUUGGGGGUCGAACCUCAGCGCCCAAACUAACCCGAUAAAUAAUCCGCCUGGGGAGCACGUACGCUAGUAUGAAACUCAAAGGAAUUGACGGGGACCCGCACAAGCGGUGGAUCAUGUUGUUUAAUUCGACGCAACGCGAGGAACCUUAGCCCCGUUUGACAUCUUAGGAAUGAAACAGAGAGGUGUCAGGGUCCCUUCCAGGAAACCUAAAGACAGGCGGUGCAUGGGUGUUGUCAGCUCGGGUCAUGAGAUGUUGGGAUAAGUCCCGCAAGGAGCGCAACCCCCUUCGUAUGUUUCCCUCAUUAAGUUGGGGAGUCAUGCGAUAGUGCCUGAUAUGAUCAGGUGGAAGGGGGGGAGGACGUCAAGUCAUCAUGCCCCUUAUACGCUGGGCUACACACGUGCUACAAUGGGUAGUACAGAGAAUUGCAGAGCCGCGAGGGGGAGUUAAUUUCAGUAUACUAUUCUUAGUUCGGACUGUAUUCUUCGACUCGAGGACAUGAAGUCGGAAUCGCUAGUAAUGGCGAAUCAACAAUGUCGCGGGGAAUUCGUUCUCGGGUAUUGUACACACCGCCCGUCACUCUACCGUCCCUGCACUCACCGCCGGUCAAGGGCGAAUUCCAGC